CCUACGGGAGGCAGCAGUGGGGAAUAUUGGGCAAUGGACGCAAGUCUGACCCAGCAACGCCGCGUGAAGGAAGAAGGCUUUCGGGUUGUAAACUUCUUUUAAGGGGGAAGAGCAGAAGACGGUACCCCUUGAAUAAGCCACGGCUAACUACGUGCCAGCAGCCGCGGUAAUACGUAGGUGGCAAGCGUUGUCCGGAUUUACUGGGUGGAAAGGGCGUGCAGCCGGAGAGACAAGUCAGAUGUGAAAUCCACGGGCUCAACCCGUGAACUGCAUUUGAAACUGUUUCCCUUGAGUGUCGGAGUGGUAAUCGGGAUUCCUUGUGUAGCGGUGAAAUGCGUAGAUAUAAGGAAGAACACCAGUGGCGAAGGCGGAUUACUGGACGAUAACUGACGGUGAGGCGCGAAAGCGUGGGGAGCAAACAGGAUUAGAUACCCCGGUAGUC
rnacentral:rRNA from 1 species